rnacentral:rRNA from 1 species
CAGCCGCCGCGGUAAUACGUAGGGGGCGAGCGUUACCCGGAUUCACUGGGCGUAAAGGGGGUGUAGGCGGCUCGGUAAGUCGGGUGUGAAAUCCCACGGCUCAACCGUGGAAUUGCGCCCGAAACUGCCGAGCUUGGGGCCGGUAGAGGGAGACGGAACUGCCGGUGUAGGGGUGAAAUCCGUAGAUAUCGGCAGGAACGCCGGUGGGGAAGCCGGUCUCCUGGGCCGCGCCCGACGUUGAGGCCCGAAAGCUAGGGGAGCAAACCGGAUUAGAUACCCGGGUAGUCCUAGCCGUAAACGAUGCCCACUAGGUGUGGGGGAGUAUUUCCUCCGUGCUGUAGCUAACGCGUUAAGUGGGCCGCCUGGGGAGUACGCCCGCAAGGGUGAAACUUAAAGGAAUUGGCGGG